AAACAGAGGCACGGGAGACAUCAGGGUCCUACCUGCCUCUCCUGCAUGGGGACUCCAAGUCACCUUUUGAGCUCUUGCCUGAAUCUGCGAUGUACCCUGGGGAAGGUCCAGCCACUGAGUCAGUAGGGAGACAUUGACCGGGAUCCCUGACAUGCUGGGAAGAUGUCAGAUCCCAGUAUUAGCCAAGGAGCACAAGACCUGCAGGACAGCUGACCAGUGUCUGAUGCCAGCAGGGCUGAAAACAGGGACAUCCAAGACCCUUAGAGCUAGCAUGACCCACCCUAGUCUCCAGCUGUCCACCUCUGAGCUGGCCAGUGUCUGAUGCCAGCAGGACUGACAACAGAGACAUCUGAGCUGGCAUGACCCACCCUUGUCUCCAGCUAUCCACCUCUGCUCCUGGAUGGUCCUCUGGGCUUGUGUAGUCCUUCCCCAGAGCCCCAAUGCCUAGGCUGUCUGUGUGUUUGAGAUCCCCGCAGCAGUCUGAUAGAGAGGACGCUGCCCUCCGAGGCUUCCCUCGUCUUUCCCCGUGGCUGUGGACUUGUUAGCCCCCCACCGGCAGGAGCCCCAGAAUCUGAGGCACAGAGAGGGUGACCCCUGUGAAAGGACCGUUAGACUAGGAUCUCGACCUGCAGGUGGAGAGACACUGCAUAGGGAGAUCAGUAUUUGGAGAGACUCCUGAUUCAGAAGUUGAAGUGGCUGAGGUCAGAGAGCCAUCGGUGACCUGGUGCGUGUUCUCCAAGGCCAACAUUAUGACCACCAUGAAGAGCUCGAACUGCAGGUUCUCUUUGUGCCGCUCUUGAGAAGAACUUCAAGUUGGGGUUGGAGUUGACCCA
rnacentral:lncRNA from 1 species